AAAGGAAUUGACGGGGACCCGCACAAGCGGUGGAGCAUGUGGUUUAAUUCGACGCAACGCGAAGAACCUUACCAAGGCUUGACAUCCCUUGACGGUCUAAGAGAUUAGAUUUUCUUUUCGGAGACAAGGAGACAGGUGGUGCACGGUUGUCGUCAGCUCGUGUCGUGAGAUGUUGGGUUAAGUCCCGCAACGAGCGCAACCCCUACAGUUAGUUGCCAUCAUUAAGUUGGGCACUCUAGCAGGACUGCCGGUGACAAACCGGAGGAAGGUGGGGAUGACGUCAAAUCAUCAUGCCCCUUAUGUCUUGGGCUACACACGUGCUACAAUGGGCAGUACAGAGGGCAGCGAAGCCGCGAGGUGAAGCGAAUCUCAAAAAGCUGUUCCCAGUUCGGAUUGCAGGCUGCAACUCGCCUGCAUGAAGCAGGAAUCGCUAGUAAUCGCAGGUCAGCAUACUGCGGUGAAUACGUUCCCGGGUCUUGUACACACCGCCCGU
rnacentral:rRNA from 1 species